UACGUAGGGGUCAAGCGUUGUCCGGAAUCAUUGGGCGUAAAGCGCGUGUAGGCGGCUUCGUAAGUCCGUUGUGAAAGUCCAGGGCUCAACCCUGGAAUGCCGAUGGAUACUGCGGAGCUAGAGUCCGGAAGAGGCGAGUGGAAUUCCUGGUGUAGCGGUGAAAUGCGCAGAUAUCAGGAGGAACACCAAUGGCGAAGGCAGCUCGCUGGGACGGUACUGACGCUGAGACGCGAAAGCGUGGGGAGCAAACAGG
rnacentral:rRNA from 1 species